UUACAGCCAUAUCAUGUUGAAACACCAGUUUACAUAUGAUCACCGAAGUUAAGCAACACCAAGCCUGGUCAGUACCUAGAUGGGUGAUCACUUGUGAAUACCAUGUGCUGUAAG